rnacentral:rRNA from 1 species
AGAGUUUGAUCAUGGCUCAGGAUGAAUGCUGGCGGCGUGCCUAAUACAUGCAAGUCGAGCGGCAGCGCGUCUAGUUUACUAGAUGGCGGCGAGCGGCGGACGGCUGAGUAACGCGUAGGAAUGUGCCCCAAAGUGAGGAAUAACUGCCCGAAAGGGUAGCUAAUGCCGCAUAUGGUCUUCGGAUUAAAGGAUUUAUCCGCUUUGGGAGCAGCCUGCGUACGAUUAGAUAGUUGGUGAGGUAAUGGCUCACCAAGUCGACGAUCGUUAGCUGGUCUGAGAGGAUGAUCAGCCAGACUGGAACUGAGACACGGUCCAGACUCCUACGGGAGGCAGCAGUAAGGAAUCUUCCACAAUGGGCGAAAGCCUGAUGGAGUAACGCCGCGUGCAGGAUGAAGGCCUUCGGGUUGUAAACUGCUUUUAUGAGUGAAGAAUAUGACGGUAACUCAUGAAUAAGCACCGGCUAACUACGUG